AAGACUAUAGACCUGCGGAGUACCUGCGGAGGGAUCAUUAUUGAAUAAACUUGAUGGGUUUGUAGCUGGUCUUUGAAGACAUGUGCACGACCUGUCUUGCCUUUCAUUCAUCCACCUGUGCACUUGUGUAGUCUGCUCGAGAACCUAUGGGAGAAGUGAUUAAGAUCAGCCAAUCGACUGGAUGUGAGGCCUGCUCACUGAGAGCUCUCCUCUGUGUCACCAAUCUCUUUCCCGAGGGGA
rnacentral:misc_RNA from 1 species